rnacentral:rRNA from 1 species
AUUGAACGCUGGCGGCAGGCCUAACACAUGCAAGUCGAACGAGUGGCGGACGGGUGAGUAAUGUCUGGGAAACUGCCUGAUGGAGGGGGAUAACUACUGGAAACGGUAGCUAAUACCGCAUACCAUCGGAUGUGCCCAGAUGGGAUUAGCUUGUAGGUGGGGUAAUGGCUCACCUAGGCGACGAUCCCUAGCUGGUCUGAGAGGAUGACCAGCCACACUGGGACUGAGACACGGCCCAGACUCCUACGGGAGGCAGCAGGGGGGAAUAUUGCACAAUGGGCGCAAGCCUGAUGCAGCCAUGCCGCGUGUAUGAAGAAGGCCCUCGGGUUGUAAAGUACUUUCAGUCGGGAGGCGUUACCGGCAGAAGAAGCACCGGCUAACUCCGUGCCAGCAGCCGCGGUAAUUC